GUGGGUAGUUUGACUGGGGCGGUCUCCUCCUAAAGAGUAACGGAGGAGCACGAAGGUUGGCUAAUCCUGGUCGGACAUCAGGAGGUUAGUGCAAUGGCAUAAGCCAGCUUGACUGCGAGCGUGACGGCGCGAGCAGGUGCGAAAGCAGGUCAUAGUGAUCCGGUGGUUCUGAAUGGAAGGGCCAUCGCUCAACGGAUAAAAGGUACUCCGGGGAUAACAGGCUGAUACCGCCCAAGAGUUCAUAUCGACGGCGGUGUUUGGCACCUCGAUGUCGGCUCAUCACAUCCUGGGGCUGAAGUAGGUCCCAAGGGUAUGGCUGUUCGCCAUUUAAAGUGGUACGCGAGCUGGGUUUAGAACGUCGUGAGACAGUUCGGUCCCUAUCUGCCGUGGGCGCUGGAGAACUGAGGGGGGCUGCUCCUAGUACGAGAGGACCGGAGUGGACGCAUCACUGGUGUUCGGGUUGUCAUGCCAAUGGCACUGCCCGGUAGCUAAAUGCGGAAGAGAUAAGUGCUGAAAGCAUCUAAGCACGAAACUUGCCCCGAGAUGAGUUCUCCCUGAGACUUAGAGUCUCCUGAAGGAACGUUGAAGACGACGACGUUGAUAGGCCGGGUGUGUAAGCGCAGCGAUGCGUUGAGCUAACCGGUACUAAUGAACCGUGAGG
rnacentral:rRNA from 8 species